GUCCUGAGGUCCAUAGGUGGAAUACUUGGAAGGAUGAAAAAAAUGUUCUAAGCCGGUGGUCUUUACGACUGCCGCUAUUUUGAGAGAUAAGGCGGCCACCACAUAAACCGGAUAGCAUCUGACGCGGCAGUUUUUGCAAAUUGGCAUGACGGAGAGAGAGAAAGAGAGAGAAAGAGAGAGAGAGAGAGAGAGAGAGAGAGAGAGAAAACAUUGGAAAGCCAGGCAGUGAUAGGGAGAUCUCCAAGAGAAGAAGGCAUACCAAAGAUUGAGAGGGGAAUACCAACAUUGUGUGACUCUGAAAAUCUUGAGAAGAAGGCAUACAAGCGAUUUGGAGAUCUCCAAGAAGAAUAUGUUUCUCAUUUGGACGAUGGUGAUGAAACCAAGCUUCGGAUUUUAGGGAAUACUACUGCUAUUGGUGAUGAAAGUAGCAAUGGUACUUUUUUCAGGGCUGUUCUGUUGGCUCGUCGAGGAAAGUGAUCUCGGGAAGGAUUCUAAGAGAAAGGAAGCUUUUGCAAGGUUGCAGCAAUUGCAAAUGGGGUGAUUAGUGCUUCAAGUCCAAGUGUUCCUCAGCUUGCACCUGUCUAUCUAAAACUUGGAACUUGGCAAUGGGCACUUUCUCUUGGAUUAGAUGAUGAUUCUAUACCAGAAAUCCUUAUGGCAUUUACUCAUUGUGCAAAAGAUUGGGCGAAGGCAUGACACACAUGGGCACUAUUCAAUACAGCAGUGAUGUCGCACUAUACUUUAAGAGGAUUCCCUACUAUUGCAGGGUAAUAUGUUGUAGCAGCUGCUAUUGGAUAAUUUCAUUCUAUAGCAUAUGCUACCACUGCUAAAGGAGUGGAUGACAACCUACAAGUAUCCGUUUUUCCUGGUUUAGGAGCUAUGUUUGUAACUUGGCUUAGGUUGAGGCUUUCCAGUUUAUCUUAAUUGGAGCCGAGGAUGCUAGCAAUUGAAUUGUCACACAUGUGACUUACACAUUUUGCUUAUGAGUUACUUGCUCCCUAAAAGCACUUCAAAACUGCUACAAAUACAGUAUGUAGAGCAGGUUACAUAACCAAUCAAGACUGAAUGCACGAGUGUGUUGUACGAGUUUCUUGUAAGGAUGGCGGGCAUGUUCACUCUUGAUUGGGUUACAUAGCCUAUUUGUACAUGUCUUGUUUGUAGUAUUGUAUUCUGCAUGGCUCAUGAUUAUGCUUUAUUUAUGGGCUAUAGUUCGUGGAAUUAAACAACCUUCUAUUGUUAAGGGUUUUGAUGUGAUGACAAUAAUUGGCUCAACUCAACUUUAAUCCUAACUGUUUGAUCUAAUGUAUAAUUCUUCUAUGAA